rnacentral:misc_RNA from 1 species
GUGUAUGAAUAAAUAAAUGCAUUGACAGAUUUAGAGGGAAUUUACAAUGUGGAGUUGGGACCCCAUUCCCCAAACCAUACAACUUUCGUGCACCCGCAUUAUUGCGUUUCACGCAGCAAAAGUGCCCAAGUCACAGAGUCAGGGACCACGUGCCGGUCAACACUUUCUCAAUCCUAUGUGGCAACGGCCAAAGAAUCUGAGGGCCUGGCCAAGCCAAAGAGACACAUUUACUGAUCCUGAUGCCCCGCUUCCUUUUUCCGAUAGAGCUACCUGCAGUGUCACCACUCACAUUAACGGCUACUUUUCCCCUCCUUCAAAUAUUGCCACGUGUCUUAUCCGGAUUAUUUAUCCCGCUUUUGGCGGGAAUUGAAUUUUGUUGGAAGGAAUCACGGAAGAUGUAUUUUGACCGCGGGAGUGGACCUAAGAAAACUACCGUCGUAGGGUCAAAGGUAUAUACAAAUUGAGCAUGUUGAGGAAGAAUAAAGAGUUAAAAGAAAAAACGAAGAACCACCGGCCACCACCAUAGAAGAAACAAUGAACUAAAGUUUGCAAUGAUGAUUGAUAAGUUGAUAACACUAAUGUUAACUUGCAGAAAAUAAUGAUCAAGAAUGAUACUUCUUUUGGGGAAGUAAUUCUUUUUCAAAUACUAAACAAAAAUUAAUUGUUCAAACCGGAGACGGUAGUGUAGUGGGAUCAGCUGAGGAGGGAAUAUCUGGUCCAACCCUGCAGCCUUCAAGCAUGAAAACAAUGUCAGCCAUUGAUGGUCUAUCAAGUGGAUCAGCUGCUGUGCAAAGAAGCCCAACUUUAACUCCUAACAAGAAUUCUUCCCAUUCUGAUGACUCAGGGUCUAGCUCAAGUAACCCGGGUUCUAGUAAUUCUGAUACUUGGCCUCUUUGCAAUUGCUUUUUAACCCACUUGACGAUAUCUUCAUCCUGGGUAAACAUGAUUGCUUUCUUUCCUGUUAGGAUCUCUAACAAAACAAUCCCAAAACUGUACACAUCGCCUUCUUUUGUGGGCUGUCUUGUUAAUGCUGCUUCUGGUGAUACAUAGCCUAGUGAUCCAACUGCGGUGGAAGAUGAGGAAGCUUCUGCUGGUGUUGCUGUUGUUAAUUUUUCUAGUCCGAAUUCUGACAGAUGUGCUUCAAAGUCAGCAUCAAAAAGAACAUUUUGCGGCUUAAUAUCACCAUGGAUCAUUGAGACUGAAUGUAAGAAACCUAAGCCACGGGCAAUGCCUAAAGCAAUUAAGUGACGCAUUGGCCAGUUUAGAACAUGUCCAUCGUGGUGGGAAGCUUCCUGAAGGAGAGUAGCUAGGUUUCCAUUAGGCAUGUAAUCAUAAACAAGCAGCCUUACGUCAGGUGGUCCUGCAUAGUAGCCACGCAAAACUGUUAAGUUUCGAUGCUUCACCUUCCCUAGUGAUUCUGCUUCUUUACGAAAAGUGCCUUCUUCAAUUGAUCCAUCAGGGAGGCGACGGAUUGAAAGCACCAUUCCAUCUUGAUAUGAGGCCUUGAAUACGAGCCCAUAUCUUCCUCUGCUUAACACAUUUUCCUCAUCAAAUUGCCUUGUUGCUUCCAACGUUUCUGCAUAUGUUAUCUUGUUAUUGAACAUUACUAGUUUUGGCCCUCCAUUCUCACCGCUUCCACGACCCCUGCCUGCUCCCGAGCUUGCUCGAGCUGGGCUUCGCUUCUUUCCACCAGUUACACCUUGUCUAAGCCUCUUGCGCCAGCGUAAGAGGGUGUAAAUGUAGCCACAGCAACACAAUAACAAAAUGAAGGCGCCUGCUACAGCUACACCAAUGAAUAGAAAAAGUUUUUUCCUUCUUCUGUUUCUUAAAUCGGCACAUUCUCUAUCCAGUGGCUUCCCACAUAAUCUUCCAUUCAUAGAAAACACAGAGGGAUCGUUGAAUCGAGAGGCGAGCAAUUUUGGAAUCUCUCCCUCAAGAUUGUUACUCGAUAAAUUUAAGUAUCUCAAGCUAGAGAUCUGAGAAAGAUUUGCUGGAAUGGUCCCAUUCAAGCUGUUGGAGGAAAGAUUCAACAAUGUUAGAUUUGACAACAUGGACAAUGAUUCUGGUAUAUGGCCUGAAAGGUUAUUAGCAUCCAGAAAAAGGGAAACUAGAGAGGAGCAUCUGUCAAUCUCCUCUGGGAUUUCACCGGUUAAAUUAUUCUGGCCCAAAUCAAGAUUCUUCAAACGAGGUAAGUGAGAGAUAUCUCCCGGAAUGUUGCCCUUCAAAUGAUUUGAACGAAGUUCAAGCACUUCAAGGCCAGAACAAUUACCAAGCUCUGCUGGGAUUACACCCGAAAUGUUAUUCUGGGAUAAUGAGAGAACAAUUAGUGAACCUAGAAAUCCGUAGGUUGCAGGAAUUGCACCAGUGAAAGAAUUAGAAGUGAGAUUGAGAUACUGCAGACUAACUAAGCUGCUAAAACCUUCAGGAAUAUCUCCAGAUAAUUUGUUCUUUUCCAAAGCAACAACCUGCAGACUUGGCAACCCAAAGAGCUCAAUUGGCAAAUCGCCAGACAAAUUCUGCUUACUUAAAUCCAGAGUGGUAAGUUUCGACAAACUCCCAAUACUCACAGGGAUCCUCCCUGAAAACCCACAAGCACUCAAAUUCAAAACCAGCAAACCUUUCAAGUCCCCUAUAUUGUAAGGAAUCUCCCCAGAAAAUUUAUUAUAGCCGAGAUUCAAAAUACUCAAAUUAUUUAGCUUCAAUAACUCCUCUGGUACAUUUCCCGUGAGAUUGUUGUUGUUCAAUUUUAACGUUUCAAGCUCAAAAAGACCUCCAAGACCCGGUGGAAUCGAACCAGAAAAAUGGUUCCCUCCUAAAGACAAGGACUUCAAGUUCCCUAGUUCACUCAAGAAAGCAGGAAUACUACCCAAAAACCCAUUCCCUUCCAGAUCAAGACCUUGUAAUGAACUGCAUUUUACAAUCUGAAAAGGAAUUUCACCAGUUAAUGAAUUAUUAGCCACUCUUAUUUCCUCUAACCUGAAAAGAUUGCCAAUGCCAGCCGGUAAAGCACCAGAAAAGAAGUUUCCAGAAAGAUCAAUCACUCUAAGCGCCGUCAUAUUAGUCAACCAAGAUGGAAACAUGCUUUGUAUGUGAUUCUCGUGAAAGUCUAAGACCUCCAAAAGACUAGUAGCACAGCCUCCUUCAUUUGGCGGCUUAACAAUACCCGUGAAAGCAUUGAACCCCAACUGAACCAUUCUGAUCGAAGAAAAAUUACCCGAAACAUUACAGAAAAUACUAGCAGGAAUAGAACCGGAGAGUCCAUUUUCCGAUAAAGAAAGCACUUCAAGUUUUGGAAUUGAACCAAUGGUUGCUGGAAUCAAACCUCUCAGUGCAUUAUCUUCAGCACUCAAGUGUACAAGCGAAGAACAGUUGGCUAUCGCCGAUGGCAGAGUACCGUAUAGCUGGUUGGAGUCUAGCCAUAAAUACUCCAGCUCUUUAAGUUGACCAAUGCUCGCCGGAACUUCUCCAGAGAAUUUAUUAUAAGAUAAAUUGAUAAGUUGAAGCUGAGAUUCUGCCGAGAAGUUGGCCGGUAUCUCGCCGGAGAAGGCAUUUGAGGAUAUAUCAAAGUAUCUGAGGGAAUGUGAUAUAUAGCCAGGAAUUUUUCCUGACAGGACGUUAUGAGCUACAUUAAGGACUUGAAGAUUAGUGAGGCUAACGAUCGACGAUGGGAGGUCGCCGGAGAGUGAGUUGUACUGCAAGUAAAUGGCGCGUAAAAGAGAGCAUUGCGAGAGAGAGGGAGGGAUAGAGCCAUUGAAGUUGUUAGAAUGAAGACUCAACUUGCGCAGCUGGCGCAAGUUAGCGAGCUGGUCACUGAUAGUUCCGCCCAGUUGGAGCCGAGGCAAACGAAGCUCGCGGACUCUGUUAUCAUAACAGACAAUGCCGCGCCAGUCACAGGGAGCUGAAGUUGUGGAAGGAUCCCAGCCAUCCAAUGCGCCGAGGGGAUCAUGAAGACGGAGCUUGAACGAGGUCAAAGCUUGGAUCUCCGAUAAUGGAACGACGUCGCAUAGACCAAAGGUUAAUAAGGUGGCAUAACAAAUAGAGAAAAGAAAAAUAGCCGUUGCCAUUAGAGAGAAGGAGAAGAAGGAGAGUAGUGGGUGUGGUGGCUGGUGAAAACGGUGGUUGCGAGUGGAGAGACUGAUUAAGAGAGCAGUAGUAGUAAUGGAGUUUGUUGAGAGAGGCAGAGUACAAGAGGAGCGUGUCUUAGCAGAGAUUGACUGGAAAGAGUGUUUGACAGAAACGACGCCAUAUGCUGCGUUACAAGUCUGCGUUGUUUGUGUGCCUUUCUCUCUCUGUUUCUUUGCUAGUUUUAUAAUCACUGUGUCUAUUUGGUUGGUUUCUUCCUUC